UACGGAGGGUGCGAGCGUUGUCCGGAAUCAUUGGGCGUAAAGGGCGCGUAGGUGGCCCGGUCAGUCUUUGGUGAAAGCGCGGGGCUCAACCCUGCGUCGGCCAGGGAUACUGCCGCGGCUCGAGCACUGUGAGAGGCAGGCGGAAUUCCGGGUGUAGCGGUGGAAUGCGUAGAGAUCCGGAAGAACACCGGUGCGAAGGCGGCCUGCUGGGCAGUUUAGCUGACACUGAGGCGCGACAGCGUGGGGAGCAACAGG
rnacentral:rRNA from 1 species